AGUGGUAAUUAAAGUCUUUAUGCCGUCGUUUGGGGACGGGGCCUGUACGUAACAUUAGCUUGUUGGUGAGGUAAAAGCUCACCAAGGCUUCGAUGUUUAACUGGUUUGAGAGGAUGACCAGUCACACUGGGACUGAGAUACGGCCCAGACUCCUACGGGAGGCAGCAGUGAGGAAUCUUCCACAAUGGGGCAACCCUGAUGGAGCAAUACCGCGUGCAGGAUGAAGCGUUUCGGCGUGUAAACUGCUUUUAUCACCGAAGAUUAUGACUGUAGGUGAAGAAUAAGGACCGGCUAACUACGUG
rnacentral:rRNA from 1 species